UCUGCCUGAAGAGUUUACUGCAGCCUCAGACACCAAAACAGACGAAGACGAUGCUUGGGACCUCAUCACUUGCUUCUGCUUAAAGCCCUUUGCCGGGCGACCCAUGAUCGAGUGCAACGAGUGCAUGACUUGGAUACACCUCUCCUGCGCCAAGAUCCGCAAGUCCAACGUGCCCGAGGUCUUCAUCUGCCAACGCUGCCGAGACGCCAAGCAAGAGAUCCGCCGGUCCAACAGAGCCCGGACCGUCCCCCGCAAACGCUUCUGUGACUGACUGUAGCAGGGAGGGACGAAGGGGGGGACUCCGCCCUCCGAAGCUUCAGUUGGAUUUAUUUUUUAUUUUUAUUUUUUUUUGCUGCCAAGACAAUCAAAAAUGCGGGAACUGACCGGAGGCAGCCCUGGAAAGACAUUUUGACACGCGUGUCUUAAUUCCAAAUGUUGAAAUUUGGAGGAAGAGGAAGACAACUGAGGUGCUGUUGAGAUCUCAGGGUUAUGCUAGAGCUGCAAAUGCACAAAUGCCUGGCAGAGACAAGAGACAAGUUGAUGGGGGGGCAGCGGACGGGGGGGGGGGGGGAUUUAUCUGCAGGCCAUGCACUAAGUCAGCCAGUAGCCUCUCUGCCCUUAACGCAGAGGUGCCUUUUUCUCAGCAGCAGAGAGAGAGAGUUGGGCCCAAGCAAGAUUUUUUCCUGUGGUACGCCAGCUGCUCGGACUUUAAAUGGGUCGGAUGAUGCACCCUCCGUUUUGUGGUUGGUUCUGCGCCCCUUAAGAACGGCGGGACGCUCCUCGACUCCUUUCCCAAAAGCACACUUCAAGGGGGGGGGCAGUCCCCUUCCCCCUUGUGCACAGACUCUCACACACCCCCGAGCUUAGAGAGGGCUCUUUUGCAGCCUAUUUAGUGCGCGCUCUGUUCUGUCCCCCAGGACAGCUGGCUCCCCAUUUCAGAGCCUCCCUGCCCUUCCAGCAUUUGAGCGAGAUGCUAUGCUGUAUAGCUAAGCUAGUCCUUCUUGGACCAGGAAAAGUGGGGUGAUAAUAUUCCGACUGUACAUACUUGGUAUGCAGAGGCUUAGAAAAUAUUUAGCUCUAUCUACUCGACUCACUGGCCUAGCCUAGACUUCCGGUUGCACUACUGCCUUUAUUUGAAGGGAACAUGGGACUGCCUGGGGAGGGGGGAGUUGGGGGGGGGGGGAGGGGGGGGACGGGGGGACGCUAAGAGGUGGAGAGCCUUUUUGGGCGGUAAAAGGGGAGCCCUCUUCCCCCCCCCCCCCCCCCCCAAAGUUGGAUGGAUGGUGAGGCACCUGGCAGAAGCAGAUUGGGUCCUGCUUGUCUCCAGGCUGCUCUUGGGAGAGCAAUCUGGGGAUUUCUUCUUUAAAAAAAAGAGAGAUCUGUGUCCUAUGCAAACUACUGGUUGUUCCUGGGGAAAUGAUGCCAGCAAGCAAAACGCUUGCUUGGAGAUGGAUGUGUCUUGUCACUCCUUCCCGGCUCAGCUGAGACUCUUCCGGUUUGACCCAUGUGCCUUCUUUCAUCUCAUCCUUCAGCCCCGCGCAUCCAUCUGAAAUCUCUACCCUGAUGGCACACAAGAAUAGUGCAGUCAUUUUUUCCAAGUGGGUUUUGCCCAGUUUGGAACAGGCUACACCUGGCCACUGCUUAAUAAAAGAGCAAAAAAAA